rnacentral:rRNA from 1 species
GACGAACGCUGGCGGCGUGCCUAAUACAUGCAAGUCGAACGCAGUGGGGACGGGUGAGUAACACGUGGGUAACCUCCCAUCAGAGGGGAUAACACUUGGAAACAGGUGCUAAACCGAUACUGAUGGAUGGACCCGCGGUGCAUUAGCUAGGUUGUGAGGUAACGGCUCACCAAGGCCAAGAUGCAUAGCCGACCUGAUAGGUGGAUCGGCCCAACUGGGACGUGGAAACCGCCCAGACUCCCACGGGAGUCAGCAGUAGGGAAUCUUUGGGAAUGGACGAAAGUCUUACCGGGCAAAGCCGCGGUAGUUAAGAAGGUUUUCGGAUCGUAAAACUCUGUUGUUAGAGAAGCGGUAUCUAACCAGAAAGCCACGGCUAACUACGUGCCAGCAGCCGCGGUAAUUC